rnacentral:tRNA from 1 species
GAGACGUAGCUCAGCUGGUCAGAGCGCUCGCUUCACAUGCGAGAGGUCGCGGGUUCGAGCCCCUCCGCCUCC